rnacentral:lncRNA from 1 species
GAGGAGAGCGCUUGUCCCAGGUCCCUACCAGGUGCCCGUAGACGUCGGCAGGCUGGAGGUAGAAGGUGGAGUUGAGCAGCUCUUCCAGCCUGCGCGGAACGUCGUUCUCCCGGUAGUACUCCAUCGCCUGCUGCUUCAGCUUCUGCAGCUCCCUAGUGGUCCCACAGCUGCGGCCGCCGCCUUCUUCCUCCAUGAUGGAGAGUGUUGGCGUGUACGGAUUCUGUGGGUGUAAAGCAAAGAACAAAAUGAAGUGUGAUUCAAGGUGGGAAAUAGCCGCUUCAGCUCCCCCAGGCUGCAGCAGCUACCACACAAAGAAGCAGUCCUAUGGCAAUGACAGGACAUCUGUGUCCAGGAUUUGGAUUUGACGAACUGGCAGUUCCUGCAGGGAUGACGGUACUCCCUAGUUGUGUCUGAAUUGGACGCACCAGCACUUGAGCACACACAAAUGCACGUGAACAGACGGAACAUGUUAUGGGCCUGUUAGCCAAGGAAUGACAGAAUUAAUCCAUGGGCAUUUGCGGCCAGUGUUGUGUUAAACUAAAGGGAAAAAGUGAACUGGAAAAAGCAAUGUUUGUU